UCCCGGUGAUCCCAGCGGCGGCGGCGCCGAUGGGGUUCGAAGAACACGAGGCAGUUCUCUCCGCUUUCUUAGAUUGAUUAGGAGCAGUGAUGUAGUGGAUCUGGGUUCAUGGGUUUCGACCUCGGUUCUGGAUCCGGCCCGGUUGAUCCAACCGACGUUCUGUCUCACGAUGAUAGAUGGUUAUUCUUUUCCUGUCAUUAAACCCAACAUGAAGAUGACGACAUCUCAAAGAUGCAUCAUGAAUUUGAGCGGACGAAACAGAUGCCUAAGAUGAAUCCUCAAGACUUGAGUAUUUCUUGAGAAGUAUAUGAGCUCCAGUCUUGCAGUUUUGUUAUAGUUUCUGUGCAGAAAACUAUUUUGGUUGUCGUAAGCUUAUUAGUACGGAGAAAAAAAAUGUGUACAUGUGUCGUGAUCAAAUGAGAGGUCAUGUGUGAUUAAUGGACUUCUUAUGUUUGAGCAAGAGAAAAUAUGGCAAGCCGCACCGGGAGUUUGUGAAGAUUCUAUGCACAUACGAAGACAUAUUUGAGCUUCGAAAGCGAGUCGAAGCAUUUGCUUUGCAGUAUGAGAUGCAUGCUUCUAGCUAUCAGAGAGAUUGUUCAUGCGUUAACAGAGGACUUCUGACUUAUAAGUUUUGAUGCCUAAAACUCUAUAAAGUAUGAUCACCAUUGAGCCCAACGGUUUCCUCUUUUUGAGUCACUCUCAGAUUGGAUGCUUGACAGUGCUUCCGGCUAUUCUUACAACCAGACCAAUGGUCUGCACUAUGAGGUUCUGGAUUCAAUUACAGUUACUCAAUAGACGUUGGGUGACACAAGAUGAAGCAUACCAUGCAGUUAAAGAAAACAUGGCAAGAGGCAACCAAGAGAAGCGUGCCUAGGAUGGCUGGUUCUACUUUAUGGAGUAAGUCCAGUGUCGCAAGAUAUCUUUUUAUAGCGUGCCUACGAGCUUCUUCAAGGAGGAUGUCUUUUUAGUGGCACAAGAUCAAGAAAUCUGCUUCGGAAUGUUUCAUAACCGAUGGAAACUUUUAAUGCAAUGCAUGUGUAGGAGUGACAGAGUGCGAGUAUUAUGUAUUUUAAAUCCCCACUACAUAGUUUUUGGAUUCUAUGCAUUGCAUGUUGUCUGAAUGAGAGUAGUUUUGUAUGUAUUUUAAAUUCCUACUACUCUA